AAGAACGAUUGCCUUCUAUAUAGCCGAAGGAAAGAGCCCCGACACAUUCCUGUUCAUGGAAGGCUCAGACGAUGCCACACCAGAAGAAGGGAAAACUUACUAUACUGACUACAAGAACUGCGGAGUCCUGGACAUGCCUUAUCAUGGACGUCAGUGCAUAUUGUGGGCCGCAGAAACCACUAAAGAUGCGCUUCCUCAAGAAUGCCUGGACCAGUUUGAAAAAUAUUGCGGCGUAGGGGUGCCUAAGUACACGCACGACCUAUGUGCGGACAGUGAGAUCUCCAACUGGUGAUGCAAGCUUGAAAAAGAGUGUACAAAGCCUUACCCGCUGUACGUAAGCGAUGUCGACCUUGAAGCAGCUCAGAACCUGAGAUCGUCAAUGCACGGUGGUUAAGAACGCUGGUUUGCCAAAAAUAAACUUUUUUUUCUGGA